rfam:Rhodoferax ferrireducens T118, complete genome.
UUUUCCGAGGAGCGUUGCAGCUCGAUAUCCUGGCCAGAAACCGGCAGGGGACGCGAGUGAGGCUCGGAGCACGCGGCCCUGAUGGGGCUGCGACAGUCAACGGCGCUCACCCACU